UACGGGGGGAGCAAGCGUUGUUCGGAUUACUGGCGUAAAGGGCGCGUAGGCGGCCAGCACAAGUCAGUUGUGAAAUCUCCGAGCUUAACUCGGAAAGGUCAACUGAUACUGUGCGGCUAGAGUGCGGAAGGGGCAACUGGAAUUCUUGGUGUAGCGGUGAAAUGCGUAGAUAUCAGGAGGAACACCUGCGGCGAAGGCGGGUUGCUGGGCCGACACUGACGCUGAUGCGCGAAAGCUAGGGGAGCGAACGGG
rnacentral:rRNA from 1 species